CGUAGGGGGCCAGCGUUGUCCGGAUUUAUUGGGCGUAAAGAGCGUGUAGGCGGCCAGGUAGGUCUGCUGUGAAAACUCGAGGCUCAACCUCGAGACGUCGGCGGAAACCAUCUGGCUAGAGUCCGGAAGAGGAGAGUGGAAUUCCUGGUGUAGCGGUGAAAUGCGCAGAUAUCAGGAAGAACACCCGUGGCGAAGGCGGCUCUCUGGGACGGUACUGACGCUGAGACGCGAAAGCGUGGGGAGCGAACAGGAUUAGAUACCCUGGUAGUCCAAGCCGUAAACGAUGGGUGCUAGGUGUGGGCGGUGUCGACUCCGUCCGUGCCGAAGCUAACGCAUUAAGCACCCCGCCUGGGGAGUACGGCCGCAAGGCUA
rnacentral:rRNA from 1 species